rnacentral:lncRNA from 1 species
CUUAUCGAAUGCUUUCUUCAUUCUCUGCUGAUAUAACUGACCAUGGCACAUGGCAGUCAAUCUCUUCUCUUCGAUCAAAUUCAGUUGGUCAUAACGACUCUGAAUCCAUUCAGCAUCAGUCAACUUUGGGGUUUGAGGGUAUACUUUCUUUUUCCUUUUUUUUUAUUUUUGAUUUGUUUUGAUUUUGAUUUUGAUUUUGAUUUU